GGGAUGGGGUGCUGCUCUGCCAGCUGCUGCACAACCUGUCCCCCGGCUCCAUCGACCUCAAGGACAUCAACUUCAGGCCGCAGAUGUCGCAGUUUCUCUGUUUGAAGAACAUCCGGACGUUCCUAAAAGUCUGCCACGACAAAUUUGGGUUAAGGAACAGUGAGCUGUUUGAUCCCUUCGACCUCUUUGACGUGCGGGAUUUUGGGAAGUAGCUGUUUCACUUAAGAAGAUCGAUGCACUUGGGAACAGAGUGUUGGCUCAGGCUCGAAAUUUGUGCUUCCGAAUGAUGGCUGGUUGUUUCAAAACUCAUUACACUUGGCAUUUAUUUACAAAGGCUGGAAGCAGCUUGAACCAUAGGUGCAGAAUGAAAAUUGAUUUAUGGGGGUGGUGUGUGAUCUAGAAAAUGUCAAUUUUUCCCUUUAGAGGCCAUAAAUUAGUUUGGAUUCCAAUGAGCUUUUAUACCCUACUUAUAAACCAGCUCCAGAGGAACAGUGCAAAAUCUAGGAAGAUUAAAGUAGUCAAACAACACACCGGUAUCUGAAUGUUGCUGAACCAGCUUUAUUCCAAUGCUCCUCUCAGAGGGAACUAUGCAUCCAAAUUCAGCAAAUACUGAUGCAUACCCUACAUCCGUCUCUGCAUAAUAUUGUUUUUAGGGAACGAGCUUUUGGCUGGGGAAGGAGCCAGUUGCUGCAGUACAAAUGUUUAAUAAGCUGGUUAAAAAUAAAACAGAUAUGAACCUUUUGAAAAUGCAGGCCUAUGCAUUUUUAAUGUGAUGGCAGGUCUUUGAGGCCAGGUACAGACGCUACGCUUUUACCAGUAUAAGCGAUCGGAAACCAGGCUGUACUCGGAACAGGACAGAAGUUCAGCUCACAAAACCUGAUCAUACCCGUAACAGAACAAAAGUUCAGCACACAGACUGGUUUAAAAAUGGCAGAACCUGGUCUAAGCUUUGCCGCCCCCCCAACAAUAAAAAGGGCAAAUGUAUGCUGUAUUUGCUACCAAGCUAAACUGUACCACUUACAGAAAAUUGUGCAAUUUAGAUUGAUUCUGCCUCGGGCUUUUUGAAUGUCUGUACGUGAGCCUGGUACCUGAUUUUUAACUCUUAUAGGAUGGUUCAGUUUUCAGAACAGAGAUGCUUGGCACUUUCUGUCCAACGGGUCCUUUUCGGGCCCAAUGCAUCCACGUCUCAGCACUUCAGAAACAGGCUGGUUUGAGCUAAGGUCCUGAUUUUGCAGAAACUUGAACCAUUUGGCGAACAUCGCACUUACGAUGUGACUGCUCACAUACACCUCACUGAUCUCUGGUUGCCUGUGCAAAAAGUCCUCAUGUGGCUGGGAUUUUAAGGAUGCGGUGAGGUGAGACAUUGCUUACAUCCCAAAAAAUCAGCACCUGUGGAUUUGACAGGAGCAGAAGUGAUGCCAUGGCAAAUCUUCAGAGGAUAUCAAAGGAAAGGAGCUAUGGGAAUAACCAUCUCAACAUCAUCUAGAAAUACUAGGCAAGACAACACACCUAUCUCUUUUUCACCCCUCUCCCCCACCUUUUAUAACUUUAUCUGUCUCUAUAUAUUGGAAAACUGUUGUAGAUAUAAAUGUACAGAGAAUUUUUUUUUGCAAAACUCUUGUUGGUCUAAUA